UCAUACUGUUUCUCUCUCUCUCUCUCCCUCUCAAAUAAAUAAAUAAAUAAAUAAAUAAAAUCUUUUAAAAAAAUAGCAGUUUAACCACACUGUGGACCAAGUGCAUUUUUCUUGGCUACUCUACGAACUGAAAUGUAAUUUUUAACAAUUAUAUAGGAAAACAAGUUCUGAUUUAUGAAUAUUUUUGUUUUCUGAAUUGGUAGUACUAUCAAAAUUCCACCUCCUCCUUUUAAAUAUAUAUAGGACUUCUUUGUUUUCCAGUUACAUUGCAUCUAAUACCUCCAGAACAAUACUUAAUAAUGGACUGUUCUUGACUUUAAUAUUUUCUCAUCUGCUGGCUUUUGGGUUGCAACAUAAAACUUUAUGGUAUUAGAGAAAUUCCUGUUACUUUCUUUUUAGCAUCUAUGAAUAUGAUCAUAUAAUUUCUUUCAUCUACUGAUGUAACAAACUGCGAAACUGACCCGUCCUCUAAGGCAGUGUGUGCAUAUGCCAUCUUGUAGAUAGAAUUUGGAAGAUUCCAAAUGGAGCUUCUUUGAAUAACCCACUGGUAAAUUUCUUCUGGAAGGCAUGUACACCAAUGUUAACUGUUCUGUUGCUACAUCUUCCACCUUCUACUUACAUAGCACUUUCAAUUUUGAGAUCACUCUCAAAUACAUUAGACCACUUGGUUUUCCACAGCAUUACUAACCAGAGAGCAGGAAUAAGCCCUCUUUUGUAAAUAAGAAAACAAAGGCACAUCCAGUGGCCCAUCUGUGGUCUCUGACUUCUAUUUCCAAGUUUUUCCCAUUAAACCACUGUUGUCUUUUUAGUGCUCAGGAUAAAAUGGUUCAGUAGGUCAUGGGCAUGAAUAAACAAUGUCAUUAUAUUGUUCAAGAAUACUGCAUCUGAGGGGGUGCCUGGCUGGCUCAGUCAGCAGAGCAAAGCAUGCAACUUUCAACCUCAGGGAUGUGAGUUCAAGCCCCACACUGGGCACGGAGACCAAAAAACAAACAAACAAAAAAAACAUGGCAUCCGAAUUAUAGAUACAGCUAAUGUUGUAGGAACUUAGGAAAAUAAAACUGUGGACCUAAGGGUGACAUAAAUUUUAUAAUGCAGGGGGUAUGACCAGAUUUGCUUUCUAGAGAGUUUUCUGGCUCUCAGCGUGGGAGAGUGGUGUCACCCAAACCCAGGGAAAGAUGGAAAGGGCAACAGUAAGACACGCCAUUGGGAGAUCAAAUAGGAGACCGAAAACUAACUGCUGGAUUUAAUGAGCGAUCCCUGGGGCCCAGGACGGUUGUGGUGGAGUAGUGAAAAUAAGCAGCAGCCAACCUGCAAAAGACUGGAGAGAGUAAGAGGGAACAAGUUGAUGAAAACAACGGAUAACUCUUUAAAACAAGUCUUAUUAUAAAGAGCACAAGAGGGCAAGCAAAUGUGGGGUAGAAGGAAGGUUUCUUUUUAAAGAUGAGAGUGAUCUGAGCAUGAAGGGAAAAAAUACGGGGAGCAGGAGAGGCUAAAGUGGAGGAAUAAUGAAACAGAAUGCCUGGAGUUAGGGGAGGGAACCAGAGUCAGUGAUGGGGGAGCCGGGGACAGUAUGACCUCCUUGUCCACCCCGAGAGGUGAGAAAGGGUGCAUGCGGGUGGCGAUCAGGCAUCCAGAAUGGGGCUCUCCCAAUGACUGCUGCUGUCCGACAUGGCAGCCUCUCGCCACAUGCGGCUGCCCCAACACGUACUAACAGUAUAAAAAGCGCACGAAGGUUCGAGGACUUGGUAGGGGGAAAAGCAUCUUGUUAGUAUUUCUGAUAUUGAUGACAUGCUAAAAUGAUAUUUUAUAUACACUGGGGAAACAGAUAUUAAAAUUAAUUUCACCUAUUUCUUUUUACCUUUUUAAACGAGGCUACUAGAAUAUUUAAGAUUAGAUAUAAAGUUUGCAUUCUUAUCUCUACUGGAUUGUGCUGCGCAAUAAUCUUUUUGUUGCUGCAGGGAAGGUUAAGUGGAGUUUGACAUAUUUAAUAAAGUAAAUUAAGAAGCCAAGAAGACAGAGUCCUAAUUCAGAACACACUUAGAACUUAAGACUGGUCCUGGAAAAUCCUCCAUGGAGUUCUACUUUCUAAAUUUUAUCAUUUUUUAUAAAAUCAACAUGAAUUGAUACUUGUUCAAUACAUUGAGCUCACUGUGGAAUUUCUGAAAAUGCAAAAGAAAACCCAUCAACAGUUCCACUAGAAUGGGCAAUAUUUUGGUGAAUAUUCUUACUGAUAUCUCUAUGCAAUUCAGAGGUCUAAACUUUAUUACAUUUAUAUGCAUGUGAUCUUACUAUAUACAUUCCUUUCUGUAACCUUUUUUCCCUCAGAAUGAGUUACAGACAUUUUCUAUAUAAUUAUGGAUUCCUUAGCACCCUCACCCCCUAUAUAGCCAUUAUCAUGUUGCCAAUCCACCCCUGACAGAAUUUAUUUCCAAUCUGUCACUAACAGACUAAUGCUAAAAAUUGUUAUACUUUCCUUCCCCUCAAAUAAAUAUAAAUAUUUCCUUAAGAGAUGAUCUUACAGGGAGGAUGGGGGAAUAGCUAAUAUUUUGAUAUAUGUAUCUGUCCAACUACUCUCCAGAAACUGACAUAUUAACUAUGAAUAAUGCUUAAAUGACACUACAUACCAGGUACUGUCUAAACAACUAAGAUAGAUUAACUCAUUUUAAGAACCCUAUGUGGUAUGUAUCAUCAUACCCAUUUUUAGACCAGGAAAUGGGAGCCACAGAAAGGGUAACUUGCCUAAGGCCACAUCAUUAUAAAGAGAUAGAACAUGGUUAUGCAAUCCAAAUUUUUAACCAAAGGCCUGGAGACUGCAUUAAUAUAAUCCCAAGGAGGGUCAUUAGGUAGAUUGUGGCAGAAUUGUUUUUUUUUUCCCUUCUCCUGUCAAUCAGGGACAGCAGGCUGUUACAAGCAGGCUGGAGUCGCCCAAGGGAUGGACCAUGAUUUUUUACCUCAGGAAUGUGCUUCCUUUCCAUACAAAGAUGGUCAUGACAUCAGAAUAACAUGGACUUGGGCUUUUUUUUCUUUUCCUAGUAACGUUGCUGGAGUUAUUUGUCUGUAAAUUUUGCCUAAUUCUCACAAGAGCCUCCCCUUUCUUAUAAAUGGCUCUCCAAUGGAAAUGUCUUGAUAAUAAAGAUUUGAGACCUAAAUUCCUUAAAAGGCAGUAUGACCUAGUAGGGCUAGAAAGAAAUUAAAUACUCAGGAAAACAGAUGAAAAGAUGUAUAAACGAAAGGAGCCAGUAACUACCCCCUAUGAAAACCCUCAAGAAAACAAAAAACCCCGGGGCCAUUUAAGAUGAUAAAGUAGGUCAAUCUCCAUCAAUAAUGUCCUGUUUCUGAAAUUCACAUCGCAGUUCCACUCACUGAUAAUGAGCACCCAUGGGAAACUGGAACAUCCGAGUGUCUAGAAUCUAUGUGAGCAGAUGGUUUUGCCAUCUGUGGCUCCCCGUUAUUCUUCCAGAGUAGUUAAGGAUGUUACAAAUCCACAUCAGCAACAUCUCUGUCCCACACCUGCUAGCAAGAGUACAUGAUCCCAAAGCAGUCCUCUAGAAACCAAGAGGGCUCCCAAAAAAUGGUUGACUACAUGUAUUCAAAUAAUGAGUUAAUUGACAGAAUCACAGACUUUCAGAGCCGAGUCUGAAUUCACCCGAAGCAAACUAAACAGACACUGCAAUCUUUUCCCCUCCUCUAUGUUCACUCUCUGCAGUCGUACAGCAAAUAUUUAUAUCUCGCUUACCCUCCUGAGACCUCUAUGGACUCGUGCAUCCUGACAACAACUCAGAGUGGGAGUACUAGCCCAGAGUGGUUAAGUAACUGGCUCCCGCUCACACAGCUAGUAAAUGCGGGUGCGGGCUGGGGCUCUGGUCUGGACCCAGAGCGUUCCAGUAACGUCGGUAAGAGCGCCCGGGCUGGGUGGGACCGAGGGGAGCCAGAAAAGAGACGGGAUCAUCCUCAACCUCACUGACUGUAGUUUCUAAAACAGACAUUUACGUAAUUCAUGGAAGUCUGCGUUCCAUUUAGUUUUUGAAAGUUCAAACACAUUUAAAGCGCUUUUGGAAGGCACCGUUCCCUAUCUCAGGCAACUCUUCGGUCUGAUUCCAGGGCUGGGUUUUUGAUAUUUCAGUUCUUCUCAUUAGUGGGGAUUCCAUAGAACAGGUGACGAGCUCGUGGCUGUGCCGCACGCACGCCGGCGUGAGGACAGCGGGCCCAGAACAAGGGAGCACUGACCCUGACCCUCUCAGGUCGCCCGCGGCCUCAACCUCCGCCAGGAAUCAAGGAUGCUGGAAUGUUAUCUCAGAUCCUUUUUGGAAUGAGGCAGGGGAGAGAUGCGAGCAAGCAAGCACAUAAACAUCUUAUUUCUACCCAGGCUUGGCAGGCUGGGGACUCCGGCUGGACCUCUGAGAGGGCGACUGAAAGAGAAGGCCGGUUCUGAGGUCUUCCAGGCCAGCCCCCAGCCCCACCAGCGGGGCUCCCCAGAAGUGGUCCUGAAGCUAGCUCCACACCACGCUGACGUCCUCCCUUCCGCCGUCUUGCUGGUAGAACACCCUGGUCUCUCUCCAGUCCCCUCUCUGCCCAGCCCAAAGCCUACACUCAGAUGAGGGCCCGAGGUCAUGGUAGCAUCCUGACCCCCCGCUGCUGCUUGGGACAUCUUUUCGCACAGCUUGCUGCCACCCUCACUCCCUCGUUCCCUCACCAGAGGGCGCACUCCUUGGCACCUGGCCGGUUGACCAGAACCCAAAGGGUGGAGACACAGCUCACUUAUUACAGCCUGAGGGCCUGGAGCAGGCCUGUGGUAGGCACUUGGAAAUAAGGUGAUGAAUUGAAAUGAUGGCAGAAUAUAAAUGUUCA